rnacentral:rRNA from 1 species
UACGUAGGCGGCGCUGUCAGUCGGGUGUGAAAUCCCACGGCUCAACCGUGGAAUUGCGCCCGAUACUGCAGCGCUUGAGGGAGACAGAGGUAAGCGGAACUGAUGGUGGAGCGGUGAAAUGCGUUGAUAUCAUCAGGAACACCGGUGGCGAAAGCGGCUUACUGGGUCUCUUCUGACGCUGAGGUAGAAAGCUAGGGUAGCGAAGG